rnacentral:lncRNA from 1 species
AAAAAGAGCAAUGGUUCACAAGGAAACUUCUGCCUCAGGUGGGGAGAGGAGUCCAUAGAUCAGGGAAACUUAUGUCUUGGUGAAAUGGAAGACCAUGUUUCUAAACACCUGUCGCCAGGUUACUUGAAUUUCCACUAGAGGAGCAGAAAUGCCACCAAUGCCAAGUGCCCCACCUGUGCAUCCACCUCCAGAUGGAGGAUGGGGUUGGAUUGUGGUUGGAGCAGCUUUUAUCUCCAUUGGAUUUUCCUAUGCAUUCCCCAAAGCUGUCACCGUAUUCUUCAAAGAAAUUCAGCAAAUAUUCCACACUACCUACAGUGAAAUAGCAUGGAUUUCAUCCAUUAUGCUGGCUGUUAUGUACGCAGGAGGUAGAAUAUUUGAAAGCUUUUUGAUCUUCACAUCCUUGAGGAUUCAGUGCAGCUUUACUCAAUCAGGAUCAUGCCUAGCUGCCGUACAUAAUGACUCCUCUGAUGAAUCUGGGAAAAGGAGAUGGAAAAUCUUCUGGAAAGGAUUUGCUAUUCUAGAUAACAUCACGAUCAUUCACUG